UUUUCUAUUUGCCACUUUUCCAAGUCAUGGAAGAGCACUGCCAGAGCAUUCCCUGAGAAGAGAGCAAAGUUGCUGUAACAGCCCUUGAUGUAUGGGGAGGAGAAGGGGAAGAGAAUGUUUUUUCCAACACUAUUAGGACCUAACAAACCCAACUAUCCUACAUAUCCAGCCAUCCCUUCACUCUUAAUCACAAACUGAUUUGCAGAACUAAUUUUGCUGCGGAAUAGAUGAAGAAUCUCUGAUGAAGAAUCAUGUAGUUGCCAGAAUCUGACAAUAUUGGAAAUAAUGUACUCGAGUCUGUCAACAAAGGUAGGAAAGACUUUCAUACUGUUUAUGGUACACAUAGUAGUAGUGGGUUUUUCAGUUUCAUUCCAGAUAUAUACCAUGAUGCCUUCACUCUGUCUGUAGAGGAUGUUGCUGCCGCCUUCUGUUGGCAAUUAUUUCACUCAGGUAUGACUAAAUAGGAUUACCCAGAUCAAUAUUUUCACAUUAACUUUUACUUCACUUAACUCAUAUGCUGUCAUCCAGGCCUAAUCAUCUGUCCCGAUGUUGUGUUUUCAUUUUAUGGAUCUUCAUUAAUCUCUGUGCUCUAAAUCCUGUUCUGUUCUACACACCUUCCCAGCUGCAAACCCGAGUGUCACAUCACUUGUCAAGAUGAUUGCUUAAAUAUAUUUGGAUGUGCCUGGAAAAAUAGAACUCUGUGUUCUACACACAUUAAGUUUAUCCCACUAUCCCCUGCAGGAUAAAGACAUUUCUUGUUAUGAACAAUAUAUAACUGAUUUUUUAUUAUGAACAAAGUUUAUAGAAAAUAUUAAAUAAAAUAUUAAAAUAAAUAUGAAUAUAAUUGAGAUUCUACUACACAGAUGUUCAUUCAGAUUUUGACAUCCUAACCAAUUUUUUAUCUAUAUGUUUAGUUUAUAAACUUAGCCACAGAUAUCAUUAAUCUGGCGAUGAGUUUUAUCCAAAAGGCCCUAUUUUUGAUUGUUGUUCACUGCCUUGUUUGUUUUGCAGUCUGUAUAACAAUUAAAGCUAUCUUUAAGUCAGAAGGCUGCUUUCUUUUGCUGUCUGUUAUUCCAACAAUCUGAUGCAGAUUUGAAGCAAUCCCUUUAAGAUGGGUUCAAAGGUUCAUCCUUAUGGGCCAGGAAUAAAUAUACAAGAGCUUCCCACUACAUGGGUUGCAUUCCACAUAAAGCUGUCUUUUGCCAUCUGCUUGCCACUGCUGAAUCCAGGCCUUAGUGGUCUCUCUAAAACUUGGAGGUGAACUCCAGAAAGCUUGAUAAAAUAUAAUCCGAGGCUGAAUUUAAUACUCCUUGGAUAUAAUAUCUCCCUUGACUACUGUGUUGAAUUUUGAUACAAAAUGUAUGAGAUUAUCUAGAUUAUCAGCUUUUGUCACACAAUAAUAGAUCACAACCUGCAAUCAGAUCCAGUAGUCAAAUUCUGUGUGUGUAGAAGGGCAAAAGGAAAAAAGAUGCAAUGAAACAAAAUGGGACCAAAUCCUGUUAUCUGACAUGUUUGUCUGAACUGCAGAUGACACCAGAAGUAUGCAAUGUCCAAACAUAUUUGCAGGAGGUCUAAAUCCACAGAUAAUCUUCAUCUGGAUGUAGCCUCUUAACUCAAGGACAUAAGUGCAGCAUUAGAAAAGUUAUUCCAUAUCUACAGGACACGAUAUCCUAGCAUUUACUACACUCCCCAAAUCUCUCUCUCUAAACUUUGAAGCUUUAAAAAGCAAGAGCUGGCUGACAGCAAGCAAAAUAAAACCGUUAGAAUCACAUCUGAAGACAUAAGAAGCCAUCAAUUAGAGGAUUGCUCUGAAUUAGCUUUUCCCAGAUUUCUCUGCAGUGACAUCAAUUAGCUGAUGUUAAUAUUGGCCAGCACUGUGCACAGCACCACUGGUGCCAGCAAGCCAAAAUACCAUAGUUGGAAGUUAAAAGUCUGUUAAUAGAGUUCAAACUGCAAACAAGAUGCAAAUAUCAAGAAUGAUUGCAAUGGCACACUAGAGGAUAGGAUGCAUUUUCUGUCAUUUGCAGUCUUUAAAUCGAGGUUAGACAGCUAACAGACAUGUUUUAUUUCAGCCACAAAUGGCAGGGCUUUAGGCAGGAAUUACCGAGUAAAAUUAAGUCAGGCGACACAAUUAGACUGUUCCUUUCUGGCUUUCACAUCUAUGAAAAUCCAGUUUCCUGGGGCAGCAGCCCUCAUCGCAGAAGAGCAGCCCACACAGCGUGCUCAAGACCUGGAAACCUGCUGCUAUCACUUCAUCAGCUGAAGUCCCUGCUGAGGACUCAAGCUUGUGGCACUGAGAUGAGGGAGAGUCAACACAUAAAGCUGUAUCUUAAUAUGCUAAGCCACUAUGCCAGCUGAUUCCCUUGCUGCUUUGAGCUAAGUAAUUAUUUUAAAUAGCUGUAAAUCAGAAAAGGGCUUUGCUUUUAAAAGAAAAAUAUACUGUAAUCCAUGUGUGAAUUAAUGCCCUUGGCUAUUUUCUCUCUCUCACGUGUACAAACACUAAAAGCAAUGAAUUCAUCAGCAAUUUUUGAGCCUUUGUACUCCUUUUCCAGAUGAUAAUUUCAUAACGAGUUUGAUGCCUGAGUUUUGGCUGCUGUGCUAAAACUGACACUACCACAAUUAUGUUCCUAAAAGAUUCACAUGCUUUAUUAAACGAUCUAUUAAGACAAAGCUGUAAAUACACAAGAACAAAACAAUAAUCCUUGUCCCAGUAUAAGUGCCUCAGCCUGCUGAUUUUCAGGCCAUACAGUAUUAUGCAGUACAAUGUAUUUCUCUGGGAAGGUGACAGCUGGAGGUGUGGCUGGGUGGGGUGAAAACCCCCCAGCAGCCAUAGGGGAGCAGAUGUUUGCAUUACCUCCUGUAGCAGGUUUGUUUUUGUUGGCAGCUGUCAAUAAACUGUUGCUGGCUAA